AGGAUUACAGGCGUGAGCCACCAGCGCCCAGCCCCUCCACUUCUUUUUAGUUCUAGCUUCGUCCAUGGUAGCUAGAUUGUACCUUGGGAGCCCCCUUCAUCCCCUCAGCAAAUGAGCUGAAAUACAACAUACCCAGGCAUUACCCAGGUAUUGCUAUGCUGCCCCUUGUGGCCAGAUGUAGAAAAUGUUUCAGUUGUUGACAAAAAAAAGAUAGUAUUCAUUUAGGUUAAGGAGUUGAGAUGUUGUGCUUAGACAGGGAAUUCUGCCUGGUAGAAUUCAAGGUGGACACGCCAGAAAACUGGUACCAAAUGAUUUUGCUCAUAUGAUAAAGUGCCAUUGAGUUCAAUGACCAGCAAGUGUUUAGACAUGACUCCUGUUUUAUAGCUGGACUUUUUCCCACCUCUCAGUUGGAAAGGUUCCGCCUCCCAUGGGCACAGCUGUUUUCUAGGCAGUGACUGUACUCAGUCGAUUAGCUCAGCUGGACAGACUGUUAUUGUGGUCUAGCUGCAGACCACUGACUGACUCAUGUACUGCACACACUGUAUGCUGCAUCCUGGUCCGGGUGCCUGCUGCUCACAGGAGUUCUGCAGUGUAUGUGCUGAUGCCGCUGAGUGGUAAAUGUUUGGAGACAUUUAUAGAUGUUUAGCUCUGAGGAAAAGAAAAAAAUAACCUUUUUAUCUCUUCAGAAAUCUAUGUGCUAUAUGCCCACCCCAAUGACACAGAGGCAAGUAAUUGUGAAAAUUUGUCUGUUUAUGAGUAGGUACUUUUUGUGUGUGUGAGCAGGGAGUCUAAUCGUUUGUUCCUUGUGGUGAUUAUGGUGAUUUCUUAACCUUCAUGUAAUGUUACAGUUUUUUCUAACAAUUUAUUGUCCUAUCUACCCAAUAGUGUGGAACCAGAAAGCAUUUUUUUUUCCUGGCCCCAUGUUGCAUAGAUUCUUCGAAUUUAGUAUCAAAGUGUUGAGGAUAGAAUUAGUACUGUCCUGGGCUUGGAUUUUAAACACUAGCCGUGUGCCAUGCCAGAGGGGCGAGCGUCUGGAGCUGGGGAUUGGCCUUUCGCCAUCGGAGGUGCCCUGUGGGAGCCCUGCCGCCAUGCUUCCCUGGGCUUCUCCGAGUUGGCUUGGGAAAUGCAUGUUUUCUAGACUGUUGUUGGAGCUCUGGUCCCAGUCACCAGGGUCAGAGGCAGUGGCUCUGGUGUGGAGUGGCGGUCACCACUAAACCUUCCUUUUCACUAACUGGGGUAGUGGAUGAGCAUCUGGUGCCUU